AGUGAACGCUGGCGGUAGGCCUAACACAUGCAAGUCGAACGGCAGCACAGUAAGAGCUUGCUCUUACGGGUGGCGAGUGGCGGACGAGUGAGGAAUACAUCGGAAUCUACUUUUUCGUGGGGGAUAACGUAGGGAAACUUACGCUAAUACCGCAUACGACCUACGGGUGAAAGCAGGGGAUCUUCGGACCUUGCGCGAUUGAAUGAGCCGAUGUCGGAUUAGCUAGUUGGCGGGGUAAAGGCCCACCAAGGCGACGAUCCGUAGCCGGUCUGAGAGGAUGAUCAGCCACACUGGAACUGAGACACGGUCCAGACUCCUACGGGAGGCAGCAGUGGGGAAUAUUGGACAAUGGGCGAAAGCCUGAUCCAGCCAUACCGCGUGGGUGAAGAAGGCCUUCGGGUUGUAAAGCCCUUUUGUUGGGAAAGAAAAGCAGCAGGUUAAUACCCCGCUGUUCUGACGGUACCCAAAGAAUAAGCACCGGCUAACUUCGUG
rnacentral:rRNA from 1 species